rnacentral:rRNA from 1 species
GUUUAAAAAGCUGGUGACUCUGAACAAGCCCUAUCUCCUCUGAUCUCGGAAGCUAAGCAGGGGCGGGCCUGGUUAGUACUUGGAUAGGAGACCACCUAGGAAGACCAGGUGCUGUAGGCA